rnacentral:rRNA from 1 species
UACAGAGGUCUCAAGCGUUUGUUCGGAUUCAUUGGGCGUAAAGGGUGCGUAGGCGGCGCGGUAAGUCGGAUGUGAAAUCUUGGAGCUUAACUCCGAAACUGCAUUCGAUACUGCCGUGCUUGAGGACUGGAGAGGAGACUGGAAUUUACGGUGUAGCGGUGAAAUGCGUAGAUAUCGUAAGGAAGACCAGUGGCGAAGGCGGGUCUCGUGGACAGUUCCUGACGCUGAAGCACGAAGGCCAGGGGAGCAAACGGG